UACGAAUGGACCAUCCUCGCAUUCCAGGAAAAGGACUUCUCCUGAACUAUAUAUUUUGAUCACGCAUUUCAGCAGUAACCUCAUGUGCUUCUGCUAUGCCAAGUUAGGCAGGUACGCAGCGUCCCCAGUGAUCCAGUGGAUGCCAGAUCUUGGGAUUAGGACACCCAUUGUAUAUGCUCUGUGCACCAAAUGCUGCCAUCUCGUUGCACAGUCUUUGGGGGGUGGACACCAUCAUGCUUCGUGAGGGGAGCUGGUUCUUUCUUCGGUUCGGUCCUCAAGGCAUGAGUUUGCAGGAGCGCAGCUGUCUCAGAUUAGGUAUUGCUCGUUUCUUGAGCUUCGCAUGAACAUUAGAUGUAGAUGUAAGAAGAAAUGGGAGAAAUCAUUUGAUGCAUCGAUGGUAAUGCACUGGAACAGUCAACAUAAGCAGCAAGCAUAUAAGCAUGCUGAGACCUCAACAUUCGAGAGCAGGUUUCUCUGUGUUUGGGGCUUUGCCUGUACAGUUCUAUUUCUCAGCUAUACAGGUAUCUUAUCAGUUUUGGAUCAUUAGUGUUGCACAAUUUUGCUCUAAACAGCAUUCUGCAGCAUCUCCUGACUACCAUCCACGUAAUUAUUCAUGGCCAUGCGCAUUUGACUGUUUUCAAGUCCUAGGAGCUCUUACAUAUGCGCAGAAGAAAUUGGUAGUGACUGUGUGAUCUCUAACAUGAUAUCAUUAGUAAAGCGAAAGACUUAGUUAAUUUCUCUGACUGAUUUGAUAUAUAUUUCUAUUGCAUGACUGUGAUCGGUUAGAAAUAUGUAACUUUCAUGAAUAGUUUAGAGCACAUGUAGUGGUUCCCAUCUUUAGACAGACUCUAAUUUGUUUGUUAAUUGAGAUUCAAUCAUGUAAAUGGUUUCUGUGGAGAAUAAUUCUUGGAAAAUAUUCUCUGAGCUUCAAGACCUCCAGUUUCAAUUGUUUCAGAUUGAUUUUUCUCUGUAUCUGGUUUUCUAACUUGGUUUUUUUGUUCUCAAUUUGCCUGAACACCAUCCUAGAUUAUUUCUUAAGAUAGUCGGAUUUUGUAGUACAGAAAAGUCUUUGGGCAAAAUCUUUCUUACUUCUCCUUGUGUUUUUGUUUUCUUGUUUUCUGUAUGGAUAAUACAUAAUACUAAGAUGCCAACAGAUGCAAACAAAUAUAAUUGUUUUGCCACUUGGACCUGAUUGGUAGAUAGGAUCAAGUACUUGUUUACGAUGUCUCUAAAUGCUUUUUUGAUGGUCAUCUACUUGUAUGUAUUCAAACAAAUCUAGAUGUUGAAGUGGAUUGAUCAUAGCUUUUGCUACCCCAACCGAGUCUGCUUAAUUAAAUACUUGAUCAUUGUUACAUACCAAAAGAUCUCCUAGCUUGGCUAGCUGGAAUUCAGAAAAACAUGUUAUGAGGCCACAGCUAUCGACAAGUUGAUCCGUUCUCCUCCUCAAUUUAAUAACAAAGGGUGACAUGUCUUGGAUUAAAUAUUAGGCAACUUGUGAUCACAAUACGUCAUGUCUAAAUUGGAUCAGUGCUUUUUAUUUCCUAAAAUCUUUUCUUUUAUUGGACCUGUACAAAUAAUUUGACUUUUACACACAGGCCCUGAAAACCAGCAGCAGCUAAACUGCUAAACCAACAGCUUUAUUUGUAUGUUUUUUCUUGAAUGCCUAUGCUAAUUAAACAAGUCCUUUGCUGACAUUUGAAUCGUGUUUUCAGGAUUCGUCUGUCCCCAAACUGGUGAUCUCUUGAUAUGAUACUUUACUGCUGAUGUUCUUCACGUCCUUUAAGAAAUAUGUUCAUUAACAAAGACUAAUCGUCCCUUACCUUUCUACACAGUAUGCUAUGUCUUGUAUGAUUGAAUGGUCCCAGCAAGUUGUCUUGCAGAGCACUUGAUUCUUUCAUGAAAUCCAUGCUUUGAUCUACUUUUUUGCCACUCUUGUAUGAUUGAAAUAUAGACUAUUUGAGCAUAAGCUUUCAGUAUGCUCACUGCCAAAGCCUUACAACAGCAGAAUUGGCACUUAUGAUCAGUUGUAAAAUCCAUCUAGUGAUCACUUACAUGUGUGUAUUUUGUACAACUUCAAUUUAAUCUGUUCCAGCAUGGUAAUCUCAUCAUAAAUCAAUCUUGUUAAUAAAACCAACAUCCCUGACGGUAGAAGCUGUUCUGCUGUAUUAAUAGACUCACCAUAUCACUUCCUUCUCCGAGUUACUUUGCUGUUAUAAACUGGUGCAACUCCUAAUGCAUGUUUAGACUCUAAACAAUUCCGUAAAUUGUAUUUUAGAUAGGAUCACUGUAUAUGCUUUGACAUGUUCUUCUUGUGAUUUAAACCUUAAUGCAUCCUCGGUUAACUUUCUUUUCUGACCAAAAUAUACAGCAUGUGACCGCAUAUAGAUAAAUUGGCUUAUAGUAAAUGUCUUUGUCAAGUCACAUCCUAUGUAUGUAUUGUCUUUAUAAACUAUUUUUUCUCCUCAAGAAACAUCAGUUUUCAUGGCUGCUACUUUUGUUCAUUGCAUCUAGUCUACGUCACUGUUAUGUAUGAUUAGAACUUCCCCUUAGCUCCUCAUGUUAAAACCACUGAGCCAGUGUUGCACAUAUUAGACUCUACAGUAAUCCAAUUCGUUUCAAAGGGGCAAACAGGCAUAUCUUUUGACUCUUUGCUUCAGUGUUGCUUUCAACCAAUAAUUCAAUUGUUUUACCUACUAACUUGAACCACAUCUUUUGGGGUGUGGGUGUUCAUCUGCUUCGACUUUUGUGGUGGAAAGCAAUGCCGUCAGGUUUUCCUUUCAUGACCAUGCCAGGCUUCAUCUCACUGGACAAGAUAUAAGCAUGGACCCAGCAACAGGCUUAUCCAGAUCAAGUGUUCGAGUCUAACUUCAGCAGAUUUGUGUUCUUCUUCGUCUUCUUCUUCUACCACUGACCAAAACCAUGUGGAGGAGUUGCAUUGUGCCAUUGAUCGGAUGAAGAGUAUAGGUGUUUGACAAUAUCUAAUGAAAGAUAUGCACUCGGAGAAUUCAAAGAUCAACGGUCAAGCUUCGUGCCAUGGCACUCACCACUAAUUGUUGAAGACAAACCUGAGUUAUCCCAUCGGGUCGGAUCAUGAAGAAGAAGAAGAAGAAGAAGAAGAACAACGGCGACGCACAAAGCCAAAAGGGUUUGGCGGGAAACGAAAAUUGAUGUGUGAGGUGAGGUGAGGUGACGUGACGUGGGGCUUAUCAGCAUCGUCUCAUUGGCCGGCAUUAUCUAGUACUUUGAGCAGCUGCCAUGCCAUUGGGUUGAGGAGCACAGACAAGAGAGGUAGCUAUCGGAAGGGAAUGCAGAGGGGGUGGGCUUCAGCUGCCGAGAUUCUUCGGAGCAGAGCACAUUCUACAAGAAGACAACAGGGAGAGCAACUCCCUUCAUCAAAUGCGACAUAUCCCCCAAUUAUGGCAUGUAAAGUGGGCACUUCACUUGCCCGUGGAUGAUGCCACCAAAGUGGUGCAAUUGGGCAGUCUUUUAAUCCUUAUCCUGUUAAAGUAGUCCCCUCCCUACUCGACUACUUGUUUCUGUGAUCCAGAAAGUUAUAUUUACUCUUUAUUUUCGCAUCAAAAUGUAGACCUUUUCAUCGGAA